AAAAGAGCAUUUUUUACAGCCUAGUUUGAUAAGUAAAAGGUAUCUUUCUCACCUGCUUGCACUCUGAAUUGUCACUAUCGUGCUUUGUUCCUUUGCAUGCGGCUGUUGUCAGCUUCCGAGUCACAGAACCACUUGCAGGAACGGCUCGGGAGAGUUUUGGAAGAAAGGAGAGGGAAAAAAGGAGCUGCAUUUUUAUUUAACAGAAGAAGGAGAACAUAAAGAAAAGAAAGGUGUUCUCAAGAAUGUAGCCCGCAGCCUUGUCAGGUAGCAUUUCUUCAGAUGUUUUUUUUUUCUCCCCUUUCCCACCCCAAGAUCUCUCUUCAUCAUUUUUUUAAACAUCUCUUCUGGGACAGGGACAUGAAAGUGAAUUGUUGGUCAAAGUCAAGAAUUAGGGGUUGCCGGGGCUGCUUUCUGAUGGCUUUACUUUAUCUUUGUGUCCAAGCUUUUGCCAGUCAGCAGGUACCGCGGGUUAUCCAUUCCAGUCACAUCAUUUUCUGCUUGAUGACAAGCAUCACACCUUCAUCCAUCACAUUUACAUUUCAAACUGCCACACUGCUCUAUUGAUUAAUUAUUUAGCAGCUCUUGGCCACUUGCGAGUGUUUCUGUGCUCACGUUUCACUGAGAAGGUCCGUUCUUUUUAUUUGUGUACGGUUUUGUAAAGCAGAAAAAAUAUGUAAUGCCUUUAGCACACCCACCCGCGUGCAUGUAUGCUAAUAUAUACGACACGGCAAUAUAUAUGCAUAUGUGUGUGCAUGUUUAUGCGUGCGUAUGUGCGUGCAUCGGUACAAUUAAGUACACACAAGGAGUGAGAGCAGGUAAUCUGAUCAAUAAGCACAUGCUCACACUGAUAAUAGGUUUCUGAGUUGUCAGAGACCUGAACAGACGAUCAAUGAGACCUUGCAGGUGUGCUGGAGCCGGGAAUUGGAUCAGCUACAUCCCUGCAGACCAGUGGGAAACUUGCACAUCAUCCUCUGGGCUCUGUCACUCAGAACAAAAAAGGCUGAAAGUCUUUUGCAGGUGCUUGAUAAUGUUUAUGUUUCUUUCACAUCACAGGCAGGAAAAGGGCAGCCUCUACACAAGAGCCAAGGAGAUCUGGUUCCAUCUAGGCCUCCAUUAUCCCAGGCAAAUCACUUCAUCUUUCUUUUCCUCCGUUCUCUUUUGGUGAAAUGGAAAUCCUGUGGCAUCUGGAAAAUAAAUCCACUACUCUGAUGGGAAAGCUGGCUACCCAAAGCACAGAGCAUUUAAAAGCAAAAUACUUCAGUGUCUUCAAGCACGAGACCUCCCACAAGCUCACAGUGAAGUGCACCUCCUAGCCGCUAAUGCAGCCGCAUUUCAGCAAUCUAAUAGGUAUCAGAUGAACGCUGAAGUUGAAAACAACGCAGCCACAUUCUGCCACAUCCUCAAGAAACCAAACAGCACUUCGUUGAUAGCAAUUGGAGAAUGGUCUAAAUGCAGUAGCCUCAGGAACAACGAGCUACAUGAGAACGAAGUUUAGGAAACUCCAAGUGAACAGUCUACAUAAAACAGUGACAAGAACACCUCUGAAUAUUAUUGAAUGAAAAAUCAAUUCCCACAGAAUCCUUUACCAUAAAAAAUCACUACAUCACAAAUCUUGUCAAAUUAUUCUUAAAGUUUAAUUCAGCACUUCUGUGAAAGUGAUUCAAUUGGUAUGUAUCCAUAUUCGUGCUAUGUUGUUGAAUCUCUGUGUAUGGACAGGUUUUUUUUUUUUUUUUUUUUUUUUUUGGCACAUAAUCUCUUCUAUAGAUUUUUCUUAAUCUAUUUUUUUUUCUUUUACUAUAAUCAGUCAUCUUUACCACAUAAUAGGACCCAAAGAAAAUACUGAAAUAAAAGUCCAUAUAAUCAAUUUUGGUCACUGUGGCAUGUAGAAAAGUUUCUACAGAUUAACUAAAAAAAAACCUACUGUUUCUGCUCAUCUGUAGUUGCUAUAGAACAGAUACUACUGAUGCAGAGCAGACUCCCAGUGACUGAAUCAUCUGUUCUUCAAAACUGCAAGUCUGCUACAAGCUGAUUGCUUAUCUUGCGGGCUCUCCCAAUAUCUGUAUGAAUAAGAAGAGGAAAAAAAGAUUUAGUAGGGAUAAUGUCCAAACAAGAAAGUAAUAUACAAAUAUUCAUUUAAAUUCCAUCCCAUCAAGAAACCUGUAUAACCUCUAAUUCUCAGGGUGAUAUCUUCCAUAGAACCAGAAUAGAAUCAUAGAAUCACUGAGUUGGAAGGGUCUCUUACAGGUCAACUAGUCCAAAAUUCCUGCAAUAACAGGGAUACCUACCGCUUGAUCCGGUGCUCAGAGCCCUAUCCAGCCUAACCUUGAAUGUCUCAAAGGGCAUCCACCAUCUCUCUGGUCAACCUGUGCCAGUGCUUCCCCACCCUUAUUAUGAAAGACUUCUUCCAUAUAUCCAAUAUAAAUCUCCCCUCUUUUAGUCUGAAACCAUUUCCCCUUUGGGAGCUGUAAGACACCAUGAAAACACUGCUGCAUUGUCUUUAACAGUAUGUGAAUGAAAGUAUUGUAC
ensembl:lncRNA